UGCACAGAGAGACUGAGACACUGACAGACAGAGACUGGAUGCUCGGCAGCUGAGACCCACAGUUCUUCAUUUUGUGCAGAACUCACAGGAACAAUGAAGAAUCGCUUUGCUUUGGCCUCCUGUUUGCUGCUGCUUUGGACCUUCACAGAAUUUCUUGCAGUGUUUGUCAGCUGUCAAAAAACCGGUAAGAAGACUACUUUUUUCAUGUGACUAUGUAGCAUUAUAAAUGUGUGUGGAAAUAUAUGAACUAUGUGGUAAUGUACAAGUAACAGUUAAAUGUUAAAACGUUUAAAGUACAUGCAAGUUUGAGGUGUUCAAUUUUAUUUAUUUAUUUUUUCCACACCAGACAUAACAGUGAACGAGCUCGCUGAGGGAAUUAAAGUGAUUUGUCCUGACAAUUACCAACCAAAAGAAACAACAUUGGAAAAAAGAGACAACAACACCAAGGAGUACACAUGCACAAAUUCUGCGAAAGAGAAACUGAAAAUCUAUGUGAAGUUUCGCAGUAAGUUGUAUUUGUGAAAUGUGAUGAAAAAAACUUCAGUUUUCCAUGUUAUUGUGCCUAGUAUGCAUACUCUUUUGUACUUGCUUUACUUGGCUUCAUUCUUUAUAAUAAUGUAA